rnacentral:ncRNA from 1 species
UUAAAUGCAAUGACAGGGCAGUACAUAAUUCGGGGUUUGCAGAGAGCUGGCGGCAGGUGUGAGCCGGUAACACAAUUAUGUCAUCCACCCUAUGAGCAUGCGGCGAUGAGCCGCACGGAUCACGCCCGUUAUGCGUGCCGAGCGGACUGACGGCAGUCAAUCAGGGUGGCAACGCGGGAGAGCAAAAUGACUCUCGUCCCUAUA